rnacentral:rRNA from 1 species
AUUGAACGCUGGCGGCAGGCCUAACACAUGCAAGUCGAACGAGUGGCGGACGGGUGAGUAAUGUCUGGGAAACUGCCAGAUGGAGGGGGAUAACUACUGGAAACGGUAGCUAAUACCGCAUACCAUCGGAUGUGCCCAGAUGGGAUUAGCUGGUAGGUGGGGUAACGGCUCACCUGGGCGACGAUCCCUAGCUGGUCUGAGAGGAUGACCGGCCAAACUGGAAUGGAGAAACGGCCCAGACUCCUACGGGAGGCAGAAGUGGGAAUUAUGGGACAAUGGGCGCAAGCCGGCUGCAGCCAUGCCGCGUGUAGGAAGAAGGCCUUCGGGUUGUAAAGUACUUUCAGCGAGGAGGCGUUACUCGCAGAAGAAGCACCGGCUAACUCCGUGCCAGCAGCCGCGGUAAUAC